AUGACUGCUACCAUUUCCUCCUGCUUUGUCAUGAUGUACACAAGGCAGCGGCAGCAGCCCAAGCCAUCAUGCUGUGCUUCAUGCAGUUUGAUCCUGGAUGACCCAGGAUCACACACCCCUGCAGGCCUGGGAGACAAGGAGGUGAUGGCGCCAUUCACUGCAUCCGCAAGUGCUCACAGAGCACCUGCCACACAAAUGGACCCUUCUUCGGAUCCAGCCUCUGGCUCAGCUGUCCUGUGAGGGAAGAGCCCCAGGGAGACACACUGCUCCGUCCUGUGCACCGUUCGCAGGAGCCCCCUGGUCCACACAGGUAAUAGCCUUUCCCGUCACCUGGAAUCUUGAAGAAAGGCUUCAGACAGUGACUAUGAAAGGGCCGAGUCUUAAAUUCACGGCCAGGCUUGAGCUAGGACAAUAGGGCAAGGGACUCCCUCAAACCCAGGACCACCAUCACGACACCCCUCAUCCUGCCCAGGGGCAGCCUUCCAGUGGGAGCACAGUUCCUCCUUAACCAGAAAGAAAGAGACCAGCAGUAGAGCAAGCGAUUUCCUAGAGAGAGCCAUGGGACCCAAAAUGAUGUCAUGCUUAGGCCGAGCACUGUGGACCAUACAGAAAAGUGCUAUUUUCAGUCUUUCGUAUGAAUCUGGUGCUGUUCAAGACCAAUCUGAACGUGCUCUUUUUAAAUUUUUUUUUUUUUGCAUAUGGGGACAACCAAUCAAAAGACACUAUUCCAGAUUCUGCUCUUACAUCUUGCAGGAAUCUGGCCAGGCACAGUAGCACACCCCUGUAAAUCCAGCACUCAGGAGGCUGAGGCUAGAGAAUUGCUGUGAGUCUGGGCUACAUAGUGAGUUCAAGGCCAGCCUGAACUACAUAGCAAGACCUUGUCUCAAAAAAACAAAAGGGGAAGGCAGGGGAGGAAGAAUUGAGAUAUGUACAUGUACCAGUUCCCCAAAAGGAAUGUAAUAAUUAUGUACUGCAAACAUGUUAAUAAGAAUAAAAAUUAAAAGAAUCCAAGUGAGUCUUUCCAUGAAGCCAUUUCAAAUUGGCACCAGGCUGAGUGAAUUUU
rnacentral:lncRNA from 1 species